ACCCUGAAAUUGUGGGUUUUAUUGAGGAAGAGAAAGACCAGUUCCCCUCUGUCAAAGUUCAAUAUGUUUUUAAUUCUCCACCCAAACUUGUCAUGUUGGCUCAUUAAAUAUUGACACAAAAUGGGCCAUCGGGACUCCUGAAAAUUGGCUUAUGGCAUUUAGUGGAAGCCCUCCUCUGUUUAGUACAUGUUCAUUAAUCUUUAGGGGGCUUUCUUGACAAUCCAAAACAAAGCAGCAUAGGCAUUUGUUUAAAUAAAUCAAGCAUGGAAUUGAUUUAAUAUAGGGUCUCUCAAACCUAACACAUUAACCUAUAGCCUCUAUGAUAAAAGCCAACUUUGCUUUUUUCCUUCUCAUCCAUGUUAACCUUGUUGCCAGUUGCCAUUUCCAUUAGUUUUCUUUUUUUUUUUUUUUUCGGUUAGCUUAAUACUGAACUCUAAUUUUUAUGAUGGUGUGGUUUUCUUCAUAUUGGAUUGAUUUAGUUCGCAUAAGCUCCGGAGUUUACUGGGUCUUUAUGGGGUUGUAGAUGUUUCUAACUUAGUACUCCUAGCAUGAUAAGUUCUGACUUAAUACCCAGGCUUGCACCUGAAGCACAUCUGUUGGAUGGUCAUCUUUCUAGUGGACUGAGCACUCCGCCCGGCAUUGCACGGGCUUCUCUUUCUUCAAUCUAUUAUGGAGGCCACUUCAGUUUUCCUUCACUCGAAAGCAAUCCUGUUUGGUUUCUCUUUUGCAAAAACCAAUCAGCUCUCUCUCAGACAACGAAACAAACAACUACAAGCUCAUCUUCUUAAUGAACGCUCUUGGAACUUGAGGAAUUUCGGAAUCAUCAAAACCCCUUUGGAAUGCUCGUACUCAUGUAUAUCUCAAAAUUCAUAAAGCAAAACCCUGAAAAAUCCCGUUUUCGCAUCACCAUUAUCAACGAAAAAGACAGGGAGGAAGAAUCGAAUCCUUUCAUCCUCUUAAAUGCUCUUAUUCCGACAACUCUGGAUUCCAAAACUCAUCAGCCAGAACCCUCAAGAACCUUUCUCUUUCUUUGUUGAAGAGUACCAUUUCUAAUCUUACCCCUCCGGACGUCUGCAAAUGGUCUGCUAUUCUCUCCAUCUCCAUUGCAACAACAAAAUGGACUGUAAAUCUCCUAUUGGAUCCUUUCUUCUGGAUGUAUUUCAGCUGGACCUGGCUUUUCUGGCCUUGGUUCCUAGCCAUCAGUCUUGCACUCUAUGGACUUUAUUGCCUACGAAAACACUUUCGUGGUGAAGCAAACAUCUUUGAACAGCUAGUCGUAGUGACCUCGACAUUUACUUGGCUCACUCUUGUUCCACCCGCCCAUUUUAACGGCUAUCUGGAAGGAAGGCCGUUUGUUUUCUUCUUUGUUUACCACUAUUUUUUCUUCUUCAAUGUCAGUGUCAGGAAACGCCUGUAUGGCGACUACUAUCCUCGAUCCCAUGAUCCCAAAUGGGAUGUUAGUCCAUCCAAUUCUCAUCGGCUUGGGUUUUGUGUUGGAGUUAUGGCUGGCAGCAUCUGAAGGACCGGCAUUGCAUCUCACGCCUGGAGGAUGGACUAAUGGCGUAAUUUGGGCCAUAUAGAUGGGUCCGCCAUCCGAUAUAUGCAUCCACGAUGCUUCUCUUUUCAACUUACUGUUUUGCACUCCGGGCGCCACUCAGCUUUCCAUUUAUGGUAGUGGUUUGUUUGUUGUAUUAUGGAUACAAGGCCAAAUCGGAGGAGUUGAUGGUGGAGACUUUUGGAGAAAGAUAUAUGGAAUGCACGAGUAAAGUUAGGUACAAAUUAAUUCCUUUUUGUCUAUUAGUCUGCUAUUUAAUAAACUUUGUUUGCUGUGCAACAAAACUGAAAUUUGUAGGAUUCAUUAAUUGAACCAAUUGAUUAAGCUUUAGCACCAAUGCCUUGUACAAAAAAUGUGAUGCGUUAGAUUGGACUAAACAGAGUGUUUUAUUUUUUUUUUUUUCAUGGUCUUCAAUUCUGUUAUGCCUUGUGAUUCUCAAUUGGGUGUCUCCUGCAUUCUCUUAUGUUGCCUAAGUUGGUGGCAUGCUUAUUUCUUAUGUUGCUUCGUCAAUUUGUGUUUGUUUAUAUUUGCCACCUCCAUCAUCGGAACCUUGAUAAGCUGCAUGCUAGUGAUUUUUCACCCA